CCCUGGUUAGCUCAGUUGGUAGAGCGCUCCACCUGUAAUGGAGAGGUCCCGGGUUCGAUACCCGGACAAGGCG
rfam:Ixodes scapularis strain Wikel colony gcontig_1108378538354, whole genome shotgun sequence.